rnacentral:rRNA from 1 species
UACAGAGGGUGCAAGCGUUAAUCGGAAUUACUGGGCGUAAAGCGCGCGUAGGUGGUUUGUUAAGUUGGAUGUGAAAGCCCCGGGCUCAACCUGGGAACUGCAUUCAAAACUGACAAGCUAGAGUAUGGUAGAGGGUGGUGGAAUUUCCUGUGUGGCGGUGAAAUGCGUGGAUAUCGAGAGGAACACUCGUGGCGAAGGCGAGCUACUGGACAACAUCUGACGCUGAGGCUCGAAGGCCAGGGGAGCAAAAGGG